rnacentral:tRNA from 1 species
GCCCACUUGGCGGAAUGGUAGACGCAAGGGACUUAAAAUCCCUCGUCCGAUAAGGACGUCCCGGUUCGAGUCCGGGAGUGGGCACCA